CAACAGGGAUUGCCCUAGUAACGGGCGAGUGAAGCGGCAACAGCUCAAAUUUGAAAUCUGGCUCUUUUAGAGUCCGAGUUGUAAUUUGCAGAGAGCGCUUUGGCGUUGGCAGCGGUCCAAGUUCCUUGGAACAGGACGUCACAGAGGGUGAGAAUCCCGUACGUGGUCGCUAACCUUCGCCGUGUAAAGCCUCUUCGACGAGUCGAGUUGUUUGGGAAUGCAGCUCUAAAUGGGAGGUAAAUUUCUUCUAAAGCUAAAUACUGGCCAGAGACCGAUAGCGCACAAGUAGAGUGAUCGAAAGAUGAAAAGCACUUUGGAAAGAGAGUCAAACAGCACGUGAAAUUGUUGAAAGGGAAGCGCUUGCAGCCAGACUUGCCCGCAGUUGCUCAUCCGAACUUUUGUUCGGUGCACUCUUCUGCGGGCAGGCCAGCAUCAGUUUGGGCGGUUGGAUAAAGGUCUCUGUCAUGUACCUCCUCUCGGGGAGGCCUUAUAGGGGAGACGACAUGCAACCAGCCUGGACUGAGGUCCGCGCAUCUGCUAGGAUGCUGGCGUAAUGGCUGUAAGCGGCCCGUCUUGAAACACGGACCAAGGAGUCUAACAUCUAUGCGAGUGUUUGGGUGUCAAGCCCGAGCGCGUAAUGAAAGUGAACGGAGGUGGGAACCCUUAAGGGUGCACCAUCGACCGAUCCUGAUGUCUUCGGAUGGAUUUGAGUAAGAGCAUGGCUGUUGGGACCCGAAAGAUGGUGAACUAUGCUUGAAUAGGGUGAAGCCAGAGGAAACUCUGGUGGAGGCUCGCAGCGGUUCUGACGUGCAAAUCGAUCGUCAAAUUUGGGCAUAGGGGCGAAAGACUAAU
rnacentral:rRNA from 1 species